AUGAACGCUAGCGGCAGGCUUAACACAUGCAAGUCGAGGGGCAGCAUAAUGGAUAGCAAUAUCUAUGGUGGCGACCGGCGCACGGGUGCGUAACGCGUAUGCAACCUACCUUUAACAGGGGGAUAACACUGAGAAAUUGGUACUAAUACCCCAUAAUAUCAUAGAAGGCAUCUUUUAUGGUUGAAAAUUCCGAUGGUUAGAGAUGGGCAUGCGUUGUAUUAGCUAGUUGGUGGGGUAACGGCUCACCAAGGCGACGAUACAUAGGGGGACUGAGAGGUUAACCCCCCACACUGGUACUGAGACACGGACCAGACUCCUACGGGAGGCAGCAGUGAGGAAUAUUGGUCAAUGGACGCAAGUCUGAACCAGCCAUGCCGCGUGCAGGAUGACGGCUCUAUGAGUUGUAAACUGCUUUUGUACGAGGGUAAACGCAGAUACGUGUAUCUGUCUGAAAGUAUCGUACGAAUAAGGAUCGGCUAACUCCGUGCCAGCAGCCGCGGUAAUACGGAGGAUUCAAGCGUUAUCCAGAUUUAUUGGGUUUAAAGGGUGCGUAGGCGGUUUGAUAAGUUAGAGGUGAAAUUUCGGGGCUCAACCCUGAACGUGCCUCUAAUACUGUUGAGCUAGAGAGUAGUUGCGGUAGGCGGAAUGUAUGGUGUAGCGGUGAAAUGCUUAGAGAUCAUACAGAACACCGAUUGCGAAGGCAGCUUACCAAACUAUAUCUGACGUUGAGGCACGAAAGCGUGGGGAGCAAACAGGAUUAGAUACCCUGGUAGUCCACGCCGUAAACGAUGUCGACUUGGAGGUUGUGCCCUUGAGGCGUGGCUUCCGGAGCUAACGCGUUAAGUCGACCGCCUGGGGAGUACGGCCGCAAGGUUAAAACUCAAAUGAAUUGACGGGGGCCCGCACAAGCGGAGGAACAUGUGGUUUAAUUCGAUGAUACGCGAGGAACCUUACCCGGGCUUGAAAGUUAGCGACGAUUCUUGAAAGAGGAUUUCCCUUCGGGGCGCGAAACUAGGUGCUGCAUGGUUGUCGUCAGCUCGUGCCGUGAGGUGUCGGGUUAAGUCCCAUAACGAGCGCAACCCCUACCGUUAGUUGCCAUCAGGUGAAGCUGGGCACUCUGGCGGGACUGCCGGUGUAAGCCGAGAGGAAGGUGGGGAUGACGUCAAAUCAGCACGGCCCUUACGUCCGGGGCUACACACGUGUUACAAUGGUAGGUACAGAGGGCAGCUACCCAGCGAUGGGAUGCGAAUCUCGAAAGCCUAUCUCAGUUCGGAUUGGAGGCUGAAACCCGCCUCCAUGAAGUUGGAUUCGCUAGUAAUCGCGCAUCAGCCAUGGCGCGGUGAAUACGUUCCCGGGCCUUGUACACACCGCCCGUCACACCAUGAGAGCCGGGGGGACCCGAAGUCGGUAGUCUAACCGCAAGGAGGACGCCGCCGAAGGUAAAACUGGUGAUUGGGGUG
rnacentral:rRNA from 1 species